rnacentral:lncRNA from 1 species
GCAAGAACUCCCAUUGCUAUGUUCCCUAUUAUAUAAUAUACAAAUUUAUGCAGAGUAUGCGAGUCAUCCAAUUGCAGUUGGUCUUUCAACUAAACGGUGCCCGUCGCAAAACCUUCUUUCAGUCAUGAUUCUUACCCCUAGAAGUAUUACGAUUAUGGUUUUUCUGACUUUUUUCAUGUGAAGCUGAUGGAGUCUUUGUGAU